GAUUAACGCUAGCGGCAGGCCUAAUACAUGCAAGUCGAACGGUAACAGGAUAGCAAUAUCGCUGACGAGUGGCGCACGGGUGCUUAACACGUAUGCAACCUACCUAUAACUGGGGAAUAGCUCACCGAAAGGUGAAUUAACACCGCAUAAAAUCACAGAAGGACAUCCUUUAAUGAUUAAAUCUCCGGAGGUUAUAGAUGGGCAUGCGCCCGAUUAGCUAGUUGGCGGGGUAACAGCCCACCAAGGCAACGAUCGGUAGGGGGUCUGAGAGGAUGAUCCCCCACACUGGUACUGAGACACGGACCAGACUCCUACGGGAGGCAGCAGUAAGGAAUAUUGGACAAUGGGGGCAACCCUGAUCCAGCCAUGCCGCGUGAAGGAUUAAGGACCUAUGGUCUGUAAACUUCUUUUAUACGGGACAAAACCCCUCGCGUGCGGAGGGUUGNUGGUACUGUAAGAAUAAGGGUCGGCUAACUUCGUGCCAGCCGCCGCAGUAAC
rnacentral:rRNA from 1 species